rnacentral:lncRNA from 1 species
AAUCAUCAUCUCUUUCUUUUUCUUUCUUCAGAAAGCCCUCAUCUUCUCUUCAUUUUUAUGUUUUCUUUACCUUUAUCUUCUAAGCUAAUCUAACCCAGAAGAAUGAUAAAGAAAAAAAAUGGUUCCAUAUUUUGCUUGGAGGUUUGUUGGCUUGAAAAAAAUAAGAAACGGUUUUUUUUCUCUUUCAUUUUUUCAUCAUCGUCCCUCUUUUCCUUAUCUUUCUCUUCAAUUAUCCCCUCAUCUCUCUCAUCUUCUUCGUCAUUUUUUUUUUCUUUCCGAUUUUGAUUGAGCACAACAACAACAACGAGGAUGGUUGGGAUUUUUUUUGGGUUUCUAAUCUCUUCUUCUUUCUCUCUCUAGCCUUUUGGAUCUUUUUUUGUGUGGGGGUUUAGCAGUCAAAUUUUUAAAUAUUAAUUUGUAUAUAUCUUUGAUGUUGCAGGUGCAAAAAAAAUGGAAAUGUCUUUUAGCAUCCAGCAUCCCGAUGAGAGUGAGUUUGUGUAACUUUUUUCCCUUUUUUAUAAAGUGCGUCUCUUUUGUUUUUCUAUUUCCUUCCUAAGUUAUUGCCUGAUUUUUUAGCAACUGGUAGUGGAAUCCUCUGGAAUGUAUAUGUUAAAGAGCUUUCCGGUUAGAGUUUGGGAUCCAAAGAAGCCCUUACUGUCAAGAUUUUGCAUAAAUCCUAUGGUUAGAAUUUUGGAACCCCAUCUCGUGUCUUGAUGUUUUAUAUGGGUUAUUUGGAGAAGCAAAAGUCAGAGUUUUUUACUUUUCUCUCUUUCUCUUUAGAAAGGAAACCCCUUUUCCCCUUUUCUUGCCUAAGGACUACUUGUAGUUUUUUUUUUUUUUUGUGAAAAAGAGAUGGGAAAAAAUUGUCACUUUCUAUUUUCUUGUAUUUUUUUGUUAACUAAUAUGCUCUAAGAGAUCUAGGAUCUUUCAGAAAAAUUUGAAGUGCCGUUUUAUGUAUUUGUAUGAAUUGAUUUAUUGUGUUUUCAUUUGUUUAUUUGUUAUUGUUAGGGUAUAAAUGAAGAAUUAAG